GAGCACAGGAGAAAUCACUCUCCUUUCACUCACGAGUGAAAGACCUCCAGUGAGAUCUCCAGAGGAACGGCCAUCAGCCACUGACUGCUCCAACACGACCAUUUCAGGUCUGGUGCCACCAGGCUCUGGGUGAGAAUCUCUUCAAGCACUUCCAGCAGGGAGAGUGCCAAAUCCCUCCUGCCUUUCUGUUUGCCAGAUCAUGAGCUGUGGAGAACCACUUCAGCUGGUGGGAGUGAAGAGGGGAAAGCUGGUGGUUCUUGAAGAUUCCUUCCAGAGGAGCUUGGAGAGGAAAGAGAUAGCUGACCUGCCUAUAUGCAUCAUCUCCAUUAUUGGGGAACAGCGUAAGGGCAAGUCCUUCCUACUCAACUAUCUGCUGAGGAGACUGGAGAAUCCUUUCCAGGAAUCUGCUGAUGAUUCAUGGAUGGGAAAAAGUGAUGAAUUCCUCACAGGAUUUCUGUGGUACAGUGGAGUGGAGAGGAUCACCAAGGGAAUAUGGAUAUGGAGCAAACCUUUUCUCAUGGACAGAACGACUGGAGAUGCCAGGGACAAGGUAGCUGUGUUCCUGGUGGACACAGAAGGUACCCUGGAUUUUGCCGCAGAUAAGGAGACCAGUGUGAAGAUCUCUACCAUUAGUAUGUUGCUCAGCUCCUUCCUGAUCUUGAACACAGACAAGCUGGUGGGCGAGACCGAUAUGGAGUACCUGGAGAUGUUUCUGGACCUGGCCAAGGAGCUGAGUAAAAGUUUGGAGUGGCAGCCAGUGCAGCAUUUGGACAUUUUGGUGAGGGACUGGUAUGAUGCUUCCCAGUGCUCGACUGCUGAUGGGGAAAAGUAUCUGGAGAGGAUCAUCGAGAAAAUUCAGAUGAAUUCCAGGUUCCCAGAUAUUCUGAAGACUCUGAAGUCAUGUGUGUCCUGCCACCUGCUGCCAAAUCCAGGGCUCCAAAUCCCUCGCAGCCAGCGAGGGGCACUUCAGGAGGGUGGCAGAAGACCUUAAUAAAAGAGAAUGUCUCCUUGGAUCUCCAGUAGAGAUGAGAAGAGUUAUCGAGAGAUUAAAGAAGGAGCUAGAGAUGGACAGAAUCCUAAAGAAGUUUCAGGCAUUUCUUGAUGAAAAGGUGUCUUCUCUUGGCUGGUUCAAUGUGGAUCUUCCCAGGUUGGAGAGAGAUGUCCGAAGGGAGUGUGCUACCCUUCUGAAGAGAUUUACAGCUUCUCUGCAAGGGAUAGAGGCAGGGCAAGAGCUUCAGAGGGAGCUAGAGAUCAAAUUGGAGGAAGCUGUGGCAACCUUCCUGAAACAAGUCAGGGGCCGAUUUUCAAAUAAAAUCAGAGCUGCCAAAAAUAACUUACAGAAAUUUCUAAGGGAAGCAUUGCUAAGGAUAGAGAGAUUCCUGCCAGAACCUGUAAGGAAAAUUGGGCAAACACUGAAAGAUAUUUUGAAGGAAAUCAAAUGGAUAGUAUGUGUAUUGGUUGUUGUGAUUUUGAUUUUCAAAGGGUUGCAGCCUUUGGGAUGUCCAGCAUUGUGGCUUUUUGUAUGUGUAGGGUGGUUAGUAGCUGUGAGAUAUACUUAUAGGGUUUCUGGGCAAUAGCAUUUCAAAAAGGAUUUGUACUGGCAUCCUCCACACUAGUCACUGCUGCCCUUAUGUCUAAUCCGCAAACAGAAGGGGCACGUAAAUCUGCUGAGAAAUUUAAAACUUGCACGCAACACAGUAAGAUGCUGAACUGGAAUUCAAUAAAGAUUCACUAAACUCAGAAGUAUCCGAGCAAGCCUCAGCCAACCCCUGAGCCCUGAUUUGCUCACCCACACUAUAAGAUGAUGAAUCGGGGUUCGGUAAACUCAGAGGUAUUUGAGCGAGCCUCAGCCAAUCCCUGAGCCCUAUAUACUGCACUAUAAGAUGUUGAACCAGUAUGCGGUAAAGAUUCGGUAAACCCAGAGGUAUCCAAAUGGGCAUCAGCCAAUCCCUGAGCCCUGGGUUGCUUAUGUCCCAGCUCAUGCGUAGAACGAGUUACCUUGAACGGAACUCGAACUUUACAGUCGAGGGAGUGUUGAUAAUUAGAUGUAAAUAAGAAAUUCUGCCUUCCUUUAGGAUAAUGAGAACCUGCAGGUGGGACUUCCUGAAGUCUCCAUUGGCUCCAUGGCAACCUGCCAAUCACUAAUCCCAGAAAAUGAUUGAAGUUCACCCUAGAGUUGUAACCUUUAAAAAGCACCCACUAACAAUAAAGAGGCUCUUUCUCUUGGUGAUUCCUUUAGGGUGAACCUCAAGACUUGCUCAUAUCUGGGCCUUUCUCCUGGUGAGUGCUUUUUGGGUAAACCUAGAGACUGGCCAUGCCUGUCUCUUCUGGGUCUGUGUAACUUCACUUUGUUGCGCCAAGUAGGACUAUCUCCCACGGGGGCCAAGAACCCUGUCUUGAGACAGGCAGAUGAUCUGGAGAUGCAAGAGAAACUUCCCUAAAAAUUUCCAUAACAGGCCUUUGGGGUGGCUGAAAAAAAAAUGGCUUGAUGUGAUUUCUUGUCUGGUUUUUCAACUCACACGUAGGUAAAGAGGAACAGAGAAGAGGGCUCCCUUUACCAUUCUCCCCCUCCCCCUCACACACGCACCGCUUUUAGCUUAACCUGAAAAGCAGAAAACCUGACUCUCCUCUAAUUCUCUGGAUCCUUGGUGAUUCAUUCAUUUAAUCCUAUUUAUUGAGCACUUACUGUUUGCAGAGCA